GGGGAGGCGGUGGGUGGGUAUGUGUCGAGAACCUGGGCUUAUUUUCCUCUUGCUCUGGGCGUGUUCUGGCCAGCACCUGCUGUCUGGUGGAGGUCAGGAUGUGGGCUGCGAUCUCAUGAUACAGUUGAGGGGGUGGAGAGAAUAAAACAACAAGAAGCGUUCUUAACUGCUCGCUGUGCCUGAGCUCGCUGCCUUCACAUCUCCCUCGCGUCGUGGUGCGGCCGUUGACGGAAAAGACGAAACGAGAAAGUAUUGCUGGCGUUACUGUACUGAAGUGGAACCCGAGAGAGAGCGAGAACACCGCCAGCCCAGUCACUGGGAAGAAGUGAGCAAGAAGGCAAAGGUGGGGGGCAAAAGAAAUUCCGAAUUCACGUUAACCCCCUACCCCACCGGAAUAGACUGCUCUGCCGUAAUGCCAAAAGGGGGAAGGGAAACAGGAUACACUCCAGGAUUGCUCCCUGCCCUUUGAGAGCAGCGUUUGGCGAUGGAGAGGAGCGACCAUUUCAAAGCGGAAGUCAUUUUGGACGGGCCGAGGAGAGUAGCUUAAGAAGCAACCGAACAAGGAGAGAUUGACUGGGUGGAGGGGCUUGGUCAGCGGAGAGAAAGGGGGCAAUGACGGAAGCGGUGUGAGACACAGCCCUCCUUUUACCCUCCCUCCUCCUCUUCCCACACCUCCUCCCUUUCCUCAUCU